rnacentral:tRNA from 1 species
AUCUAUGUAGCUUAAUAUUAAGAGCGUUGUGUUGAAGCCGCAAAAGAGGUAGUUAAUUACCCAUGGAUG